rnacentral:rRNA from 1 species
AGUGAACGCUGGCGGUAGGCCUAACACAUGCCAGUCGAACGGCAGCACAGUAAGAGCUUGCUCUUACGGGUGGCGAGUGGCGGACGGGUGAGGAAUACAUCGGAAUCUACUUUUUCGUGGGGGAUAACGUAGGGAAACUUACGCUAAUACCGCAUACGACCUACGGGUGAAAGCAGGGGAUCUUCUGACCUUGCGCGAUUGAAUUAGCCGAUGUCGGAUUAGCUAGUUGGCGGGGUAAAGGCCCGCCAAGGCGACGAUCCGUAGCUGGUCUGAGAGGAUGAUCAGCCACACUGGAACUGAGACACGGUCCAGACUCCUACGGGAGGCAGCAGUGGGGAAUAUUGGACAAUGGGCGAAAGCCUGAUCCAGCCAUACCGCGUGGGUGAAGAAGGCCUUCGGGUUGUAAAGCCCUUUUGUUGGGAAAGAAAAGCAGCAGGUUAAUACCCCGCUGUUCUGACGGUACCCAAAGAAUAAGCACCGGCUAACUUCGUG